GGCUCGUGGUUUAGCCUGGAUGGAACGCCUGCCUGCGGAGCAGGAGAUCCCGGAUUCAAAUUCUGGCGCCA
rnacentral:tRNA from 1 species